GCUGGGAUAGCUCAGUCGGUAGAGCAUGAGACUCUUAAUCUCAAGGUCGUGGGUUCAAGUCCCACAUUGGGCA